ACCACAACGGACUAUUUGGCGCUAUUUGGAUCGUCAGGAUUUGCUUUACGAUUUAGAUUAGGAACCAUCAAGUGCAGGGUUGAAGUUUUGCCUGAGGAGAGUGAUCAGCUGACGAUGCCGGAGAACAUAAUAAGAGCUGCGUCCAAGGACAGACACCUUGCGAAGAUUUUUUCAUCCCCGUGAGUAAGGAAGAGGAAGAACAGCAAACAAGCAAGCUACAACAAAGGCAUCCAUCGAGAAAGACAUGAGCCUUCCAGCCACACCAAGACUCAUAAUGCUUGGGAACAAUUUCUUUCUUCCACAAAGUGGAUGGUAAGCAUUGAGGGAAAGGUGGCCUAUGUUUUGGAUGAGCACCUGGGAUGUGCAGAUGCCUUUCUGUAUUCUUCAUCUUCUUCUACGUUUUCAACAUUGAAUACCAGGAAACUGCCUGUGCAACACUGGAACUCAUAAAACAGUUUUUCUUGAGGAUAAACCCAGAGGAGGGAACAAAAUGCACCGCCAAAACCGCAGUGAGUCGGAAGACGGGGGAAGUUGUGAAGAGAAAGACAACAGUAAUAAACAACAGUGUCAUCCUUUCUUCGCCACCUA